rnacentral:rRNA from 1 species
GUAACAAGGUUUCCGUAGGUGAACCUGCGGAAGGAUCAUUAUUGAAAUAAACCUGAUGAGUUGCUGCUGGUUCUCUAGGGAGCAUGUGCACACUUGUCGUCUUUAUAUUUCCACCUUGUGCACCUUUUGUAGACCUGGAUAUCUCUCUGAAUGCACACAAGCAUUUGGGUUUGAGGGGUUGACUUUUUGGUCUCCCUUUAUAUUUCCAGGCCUAUGUUUCUUUCAUAUACCCCACUUGUGUUAUAGAAUGUAAUAAAAUGGGCCUUUGUGCCUGUAAAGCUAUACAACUUUCAGCAACGGAUCUCUUGGCUCUCGCAUCGAUGAAGAACGCAGCGAAAUGCGAUAAGUAAUGUGAAUUGCAGAAUUCAGUGAAUCAUCGAAUCUUUGAACGCACCUUGCGCUCCUUGGUAUUCCGAGGAGCAUGCCUGUUUGAGUGUCAUUAAUAUAUCAACCUCUUCAACUUGUGUUGGAGUGUUGGAUGUGGGGGUUCUUUCUUUGCUGGCUUCACAGUCAGCUCCCCUGAAAUGCAUUAGCGGAACAACCUGUUCACUGUUCAUUGGCGUGAUAACUAUCUACGCUGCUUGUUGACAGUGAAGCAAGUUCAGCUUCUAACAGUCCAUUAAAUUGGACAAAUUUUUAUUAAUGUGACCUCAAAUCAGGUAGGACUACCCGCUGAACUUAAGCAUAUCA